CACUGAAGCAUCACCACCAGCUUUCUUUUCUUAUUCAUUUUCUUUCUUUCUCCCACAUUCACGUCCCUUAUUUUCUUUUCCUGCAGCACUUCUUCUUUCUUUCAUUUUCUUUUGUUGAAGCACCCACACCACCAUGGUACCUCUCACUCACGCCCACUUACUCACUCUCCACCAUCUUCAUGUUGCUUUUCCUUGUACAGCAACCAAAAAAACCCAUAUUCUUUCUUUCUUCCACUUCUACUUCUCCAUAUUACUUCUCUCUAAGCAAAGUGCAAGUCCCUUGUCUGUUUAAUUAAAAUAAGACCCAUAUUGCUCUCUCUCCCUUACGAGCAGCAGGAUUCGUGGUGCAAGGGAAUGACCAGCUGCAGAUCCCCCACCACUCUACCACCAUCAUCUUCAUCUUCUCAUUUUAUGGGUACGAAGGACGAAAGCGCCUCGCGGCGAAGCUAAAGAAUAAAAGGAAGCGAGCCGACGUGGAAAACAAAGAUGUGAUUGGAGUGGAGUUGCAGUUUUGGAUGAAGAGAUUGGCUAAGGUAAGGGUAACUCGGUUUUAGCGUGUCUUUGAGUCUUGCAUGUAUUUAUCGCACUGCCUGUGUUUGAGAUGAAGAUGUUUAUAUUGAUUGGCAGAUGAUUAUGAUUAUUAUGUUGAACUGGGAAAAUGUUUUCUGAAGGCUUCGGCCGAGUGAACUUAUUGAGACGUGUGUCUCCGUUUUCUGAGAGGCUUCGGCCGUUUACUGGUUUCUGUCAUUGAACUGAGUUGGUAUGCAAUUGAAUUGAGUUAUGUUCGUUGAUAAUAGGAAUAACAUGUGGUUACUCCGAAUAUAUCAUUGGUUUGGGCAUUGUUGUUGAUUGACUUGGCAUAUAGGGCUUGGUCUUUAAGUGGCGAUGAGGUGGGGUGUGGUCCCGCGUGAUUGUCCCGUCCUUCGAGACGUUAUAAAGUGGCGAUGAGGUGGGGUGUGGUCCCGCGUGAUUGUCCCAUCCUUCGAGGCGUUAUAAAGUGGCGAUGAGGUGGGGUGUGGUCCCGCGUGAUUGUCCCGUCUUGCGAGACGUUAUUGAUCGAUCCAUUUUGGUAGCAGCAUAUAGUUGCAUUAUAGGGAACUAACACCUGACCCUAUGUUGUUGGAUUUUUAGUUGUUGGUUUAGUGUUAUCUGAUUUGAUGUUAUAUGGUUGAGGUUGUUGAUAUCUGAUUUGAUGUGAUAUUUUUUAUAUAUGAUUUGAUUAUAUGUUGUUGAUUAUGUUUAUAUCUGAUUUAAUUCUAUGUUGCUAAUUUCUAUUGAUAUUUAUCUUGGAUUAUAUUGUUAGCUUAUCUAUUUGUGGUAUGAAUUAAGUUGUUAGUUUAUUCAUCAUGACAUGCAAUUAAUUUUGAAUAGCAUGUUUUUCUCUUUUAUAUGUGGUAAUUGCAUGGAGUUAACCCUUUCUAUUUGCUAUUUGAUGUUUGGGCGCUUAACGCUAUUAGGCGAUGGAGGACUGUCGAUGAAACUUGACCUUUGCACGAGUCGGAGCUGAAGACUUGAAGAUUAGUGGAAGACACGAAGAGUAGAGUCGGGUUUAAGGUUAGAGCCUUGGGUUAGAGAGCUUACCGUUAUUGGUUUAAGCUUGCCUAAUAAUUUUUAGGAAUUUGCAUUUGAGAUUCGGGUAGGUUCCGAUGCAUUGCUUUCUUGCGGUUCCCCGGUGUGGAGAUCGUAGGGAGUAGGUCGGAUUAGGGUGUCGUGGCAUAACAGAUUCCUUAUUGGAUCUGAUUUCAUUCGUUAGAUUUGUAGUUGGGCUCUUUCGUUCAUACAUUCGGGAACUUGCCUUGGUCAAGGCUUGAUGUAGAUUUUAUUUACUGUUGGGUGUAGGCAUUACAUGUUUUGAAAACAAUUCAAAAGAAAAAAAAAUUACUCGCUUUAUAAAUUCA